rnacentral:rRNA from 1 species
AAUCAACGCUGGCGGCGUGCCUCAGACAUGCAAGUCGAACGCUGCUGUUCGCCUUCGGGUGGACAGCGGAGUGGCGCACGGGUGAGUAACACGUAGGUAAUCUACCUUUGGGUGGGGAAUAACAGCCGGAAACGGCUGCUAAUACCGCAUAAUGCAGCGGCAUCACAUGAUGACAGUUGUUAAAGCGAGGGAUCGUAAGACCUCGCGCCUGAAGAGGAGCCUGCGGCAGAUUAGGUAGUUGGUGAGGUAAUGGCUCACCAAGCCUGCGAUCUGUAACCGGCCUGAGAGGGCGGUCGGUCACACUGACACUGACAUACGGGUCAGAC